GAGUUUGAUCCUUGGCUCAGGAUGAACGCUAGCGGAACGCCUAACACAUGCAAGUCGAACGGAUUCUGCGUUGUAGCAAUACAUAGUAGAAUUAGUGGCAAACGAGCGAGUAACGCGUGCCUAACCUGCCCUUAAGAUGGGAACAACUACGGAGACGUAGCUAAAUCCCAAUAUGCUCACGAUGGUGAAAUGCCGAUGCGAGGAAAGAUUUAUCGCUUAAGGAGGGGGGCGCGUCCUAUCAGGUAGUUGGUUGAGGUAACGGCUCACCAAGCCUAUGACAGGUAGCUGGUCUGAGAUGAUGUCAGCCGCGAUGGGACUGAGAUACGGCCCAUACUCCUACGGGAGGCAGCAGUGGGGAAUCUUGCACAAUGGACGAAAGUCUGAUGCAGCGAUCCCGCGUGAAGGAUGAAGCAUUACGGUGUGUAAACUUCUUUUUUGGUGGAAGACGAAUGACGGUACACCAAGAAUAAGAGACGGCUAACUACGUGCCAGCAGCCGCGGUAAUACGUAGGUCUCAAGCGUUAUCCGGAUUUACUGGGCGUAAAGUAUCCGUAGCCUGAUAUGUAAGUCUGUUUUCAAAUCCCACGACUCAAUCGUGGAAAGGGAAUGGAUACUGCAUAUCUAGAAGUUAUUGGGGGUUAGUGGAAUUUCCGGUGGAGCGGUGAAAUGCGUUGAUAUCGGAAAGAACGCCGAAAGCGAAAGCAGCUAACUAUGAUUAACUUGACGGUGAGGGAUGAAAGUUUGGGUAGCAAACGGGAUUAGAUACCCCGGUAGUCCAAACUGUAAAUUAUGCUUGCUAGGUGUUUCGAUCCUUGUGGUCGGAGUGCCGUAAUCUAACGAGUUAAGCAAGUCGCCUGGGUAGUAUAUUCGCAAGAAUGAAACUCAAAGGGAUAGGCGGGGGAAC
rnacentral:rRNA from 1 species